ACAGGCUCCAGGCUCUGAGCCAUCAGCCCAGAGCCUGACGCGGGGCUCAAACUCACGGACCGUGAGAUCGUGACCUGGCUGAAGUCGGACGCUUAACCGACUGCGCCACCCAGGCGCCCCUGUUUCCAGUUUCUUACUCUUUGCAGUGAACUCUUGGCACAUCUUGCUACCACCCAAAUGGUGUGGUCAGCUCAGUCAGAGUAUGAGCACCUUACCCGUUCUUAACACGUCUUGACUACCUACUGUGUGUCGGGCACUUGCCUUCCAUAGUUUGCCAGACCACACAAAAACCAAUUAGGUAUUGCCUGUGCUGUCAGGGAGCUCGUAGCCUGGUUGGGACAGUUGGCUCUACCUACCUAACAAUCCACUGUAAUGAAAGCUAGACUCCAGAGCUGUAUGAGGCGUCAGGUGUCGUGGUUACCAAGUGACAAUGAUCAGGUGGGCUGGUGGGUGUCAGAAAGGGCUCUGUUAAUGAGGGCUGGGCUUGAAGGUGGGUGGGGGGGGGGAGGGUGUCGAGAAGGGCCUUCUGGAACAGAGCAAAGCACUGAGAAUGGAGUGGCCAGCAUGUAGGAUGUUGAGAGAGGACAAAGAGGAAAAGAUGGGGCAGCAGCUGUAGGCCAGGACCAAACUGCAGAGGCCUUUGUGCCACGUGAAGGGACUUGAAAGAAACCUGAGUAAGAAUGAGUUGGGCGUGUUUCCUGAGCCCUUUCUCACUCCGCUGCAUUUAAUGCAAAUAUGCAAGACAUGCUGCAUAUUCAAAGCCACAGCAUAAUGAGCUGUUUUCGAGAAGAGUUCCCUGCUCUGUCACGGCAGCCUUGCUAAUAAGCCAGUCUGAGUGUAGAGUUGCUCUUCCAGUAAGCUGUGCUUUCCAGUGGACAGCCCCUGAGUCCUGGUGACCUUGCAGUGGGCAACAUCUUUCUUGCUCUCUCCCCCACUCCCGCCCUCCUCUCCCUCUGUGUGGAGACCGUGCAGAAAGGCCGAGCAUCUUUUGUGGAUUCUGCACAUAAAUGGAUAGGAUUGGUCCCCAAGGAUGUCAGCUUGGCAACCUUUAGAGUGUGAAAUCCAUUUAAAAAGGGAUCAGGAAAAGAAAUUCAGAAAGAAUGGGAGAAGACUGUUUAGAUGGGGUGGUUUAUACAGUUAGUGGGUUUAAUUUUUAUUUCCUGGAAAGGGUUUGAGAGAAAGACAUGUGAGGUAAAUUCUCCUGUGAAGUGCUUAUAGAAUUGCUACUCCAUCAGCAAGGAAACCGCAGACCAGGGCAUAAGUACUGUGAAUUUAAAGCAACCUUGGAUUAAAUUCCUCAGGCACUGGAGGCUGCGUUUUGCUGACUGUGGAAGCUCUUUGUGUGAGCUCGCAGGCUGCUGUGUGUAAGGAAGAUUCGGCUCUCCCCUUGUCCCUGCGUGCCUGCCCAUGUCAGUUUCUCCAUCUCUGAAAUGGGGAUUAUAACCUCGCAGGAGGCCUUUGUGGCAACAGAUAAUUUUGUUAAGAAAAAUAAAGAUUUAUGGUUUUAAAAUAUGCACGUCUAAAAUAGCUACUGGUGCUAUUUGGCUGUCUUUGCCUGAAUUUCUCUAUGCCUGUAAGUGAGAUUCAGCAUUUUCUUGUGGACUGUGAAUUGUUGCUACUAAAUGAGCUUGUCAGUCUCUGCUAAAGAACAAAAUGUCCUUGGAUUUACCCCACACUGCAUUGCUUUAUGCACUUACACCGGAGUGCUAAAUACGGAACGUGCCCAAUUCUGAUUUUUCCCCAGAAGGCUGCAGCUCCAGAAGGGACACUGGCAUACACAGCCACUCCCCAGAGCCACGUAGAAGCCUCGGGAGCCUUUGGACUUGGCUCUGCCGCAGACUUGCCCCCACGCGGGGCCUGGGCGGGAUGCUGCCCACUAGACUUCCUUUCUCAUCUGCAGACUCUCAGCUCUGGCACUCGUCCGGAAGAGCCGAUCUUUGCUGCUUUAACUUCUCGUAGUUGGCAUUGAAUUUUUGGGCUUUUUCUUUGUGGUUUGUGACUCCUAAUUCCAAACCUUCUGGUUAUUGUAAAAUAAGCAACAGGAACAAUCCAGAUGCCUUUGGGGUAUGUCUCCUGACUCUGAGGACCAGGUCUUUGAUGUGAAAGGUGGAAGUUUGCCUGACUUAAGGAGAAUACUUUGUGUCCCAGGGUACUGCUGCGUGUUCAUGGCCUCUCAGGGCUGCCUCCAGCGGAUAAGGAGGGUACAGAAAAUAACGGACCCUGGGUCCCCAGGCCCCUGACACUCUGUUGAAACAAGCAUCCUUAUUUGUUACCUGAUUUGCCUGCAAGAUUUUGCAUAAGAGACAAGAAAAGGGUUCUGCUGCUUAAAAAAAAAAAAAAAAAAAGAGUGUUUAAAACCUCUAGUUCACGCACUCUGGGAUUUUGUAUCCUUGCACAGCCUUGGCGCGGUCUUAUCUUUUUCUCCAUGAAAGUGGAAAAUGCAUUUGUCACCCGGGCCCAGCCCUCAGACUGGGUUGAUAUUUACACAGUUGCCAGGAUUCCUCAGACAGGUAGCCAUUGACCUUGCUUCGUUGUUUGCAGUCUUUUUAUUAGUGGUUUUGUAUAUGGCUUCCUUUAAAAUCAUUAGUACAUUUUAUUAAAAACUCUUUCCAGAAAAUAAGCCUUUAAAAGGUGUUCUCAUUUUAAAAAAUAUUUAUAAUAGUAUCUUUUGAUAAACAAAUUACUCUAAUAAUAGAUGCUUCCUGGAAACUGCCCCGUGUGAUUAUCUCUGCACAUCCUAGUUUUCCCUGCCCUUCAGACAUGUGCGGUUAUUCUCCUGCCGGGCUUCUGAUGGAUCCUGGGACAAGCCAGUUCAGUACCCCUCUGCAGGCUACUGGAAAAAAAUCUGGCAAUGAGGAUCUGACCAUUGACUCCUCUGAUCAUAGCUUGAUGCCCAAAGAACAAGCUGUCCAUCCAUGCCCUGAAUUCUCUGCUUCAUUCAGUAACCUUUCUUGAAUGCCUGUAAUGGUUCAGGUGUUGUGCUGGGCCCUGAAUUCCAGAAUUCAAUGGGAUAUGGAAUAUCCCAUAUGAUUCCACCAUUUCUGCCUGGAUCCUGUGCGUGGAGAAAUAGGGGCUUACCAUUCCAUAACCGGCUCACAUGGCACCUCCUGUGAAUUCUUCACGUAAGCAAAGGAGCACCUUUUUCUGGUUUUGGACGUUCUGUGCACAUCUAUCUAUCCAUUCUCCGUCAUCAGGAUUAUGGUAGCUGCUUGUCUAUCAUUGGACGCUGCCCUUGGAGGGUAUCAACUGGGUCAUACUGGUCAUUGUAUCCCCAGCAUUUGGUCCAUCCCCAGAUGAUGUCCAUCUACUGGAGCUAGGAGAAACCAGGAAUGCAGGUCACAUUCUUGGAAAAGGAGCCUUCACUACAGUCAGACCAGCUCACACCAGCAUUGUAUCCCCAGCCCCAGAUAUCUCCUAGCUGUCCAAAAAAUAUUUCCUUUUACUUCCUGGUCUUUUCUGUUUGGGCUGGAAAUAACUUACCCUCCUCUUUAUGACAUUAUUUCUUUCUACUUUUAAAAAUAGUUGUUUGUGGCUCAGUCGAUGAAGCAUCCAACUCUUGAUUUCGGCUCAGAUCAUGAUCUCACAGGACGUGAGAUUGAGCCCCACGUCAGCCUCUGGCCUGACAGUGCGGAACCUGCUUGGCAUUCUCUAUUUCCCUGUCUGUCUGCCCCUCCCCUGCUUGCUCCUGGACUCUGUCUCUCUCUUUCAAAAUAAACAUGAAAAAAAAUUUAAAUAGUUUUCCGUAUUUAAACGGUAGCCUCUUCUUUCCCACUGGAGUCUGAGAUCGCAGAGGCUAGUUAGUCACUUGUCUCACUCACCUUCGUCUUCCUUCGAGAGUCAUAGCAUAUACUGUGCUUGAUGUGUUUUAUGGGCUUGGGCACAUCUUGGUUCAGAGAGCUGGUAUGACUGCAUUGGAGGCUCUUUUCCCAAGAAUGUGAGCUGCGUUCCCGGGUUGUCCUAUCUCUAGUAGACGGACAUCAUCUGCGGAUGGGGCAGAGAAAAGGCUGGGCCCUGUACUGGUGACUGUUAAAAAUAGAUCAGCCGCCAACCACUCAAAUAUCUGCUACAUGGGUUCUGCUGCUUUCUAUCUUGUAGGCAUAUUUGAUUAGAGUGGGUAAAAGGAAAAUACCACUCCGAGGUCAUUUAAUGGUCUAGCUCUUCCUUCCUGUAACUGUAGGGUGAAUUUCUGUCCCAUAAAUCUAUAGGUCUUUGUGGGGGCAAUAAUUCUCAAUAUUUUGAGAUCGCCUUGGGAUUUGCAGAAACCUCAGUGUUUUUGUUUUCCCCUAAAGCAAUAGCAAUGCGUGUCUCUUGAUCAUUUAUCCUUAGGAGGAAAGGAUAGGUCUUUUCAAUGAAUAUUACACCAUGACCUGCAAAGUUCAUCAGUAUGCGGCUUUCUCCUGUGCCCAAGUCCUACAUGUGAGAGGCAUAGUCCCGGGCCAUGCUGAAUGGUGGUGAGGAUAUCGGGCCACCUGCUUCACAGGACUUGGCACUGGAGCCAGGGAAGUUCGUUGUUCUCCUCCUGAAAUAAUUUCUGUCCUCCGUGGCCCUGGGAGUGUGAUAGACAUGGUUUCCCUUUGAUUUAGUGCCUCCCUGCUCAAACCCCAUUUCAUGGAGCUCUGCCCCUCUGUCGACUGUGAGUGAAGGAUAACAGGACAUAAACUACUUGUAGACGUGAUGGAGCCAAAGAAAGAUCGUUGCCUUCUGAGUUAGUUAGCUUCAGAGAUGGCUGUCAAGUUUUCAGUACUGAUGUGAACAGUUUUGCUACGACCACUACCCCCCGGAGGUUGAUGUGAAAGUACUUCACUCUAGAAAAGCCCCAAGUCCAGAUGAGCGCUCUGCCUUACUGUUGACCCACCUGUUGUCACCACCGUGUCAUGGAAUUUCGUAUGUGUGUUGCACUCUCCCAGAUGGGAUGUCGACAUCCCCACGAUUGAGGUAAGCUCUGAGCAUAAGAAUAAAAAAAAAAUCAACAGCUCAGCUUGGUGGUAGAGGGAGGAAUGUAUUGUUUGCCUGUGUCUCCAGGCUUCGGGGAUAAUGUGCAGAUAAUCUGCCAUGUGGCUUUGUGCCUACAUCAUUUGGUUGACUCAUGUCCUUGGCAGACCCAUAUGUGAUGCACAAGUAGUGCGAUACCUUAAGUUGUGUUUGGGGAAGCUCUCAGUCCACGUUGGUCUCUAAUGGCACGUCUUGUAUUCAUACUGAAAGAACCCAGUCACAGGAAGGGAAGCUUUACUAUCUAGUGGGAAUUUAAGAAACCUAUCACACCUAGAAGAACAUUGCCUUUUCAUGUUCACUUAUCCCUUGGUGAGAUGAUCAAGUAAAUACUAUGACCUUAGUCACGUGAGAGAGCUGUCAGUCAUUAGUCUAACCAGGGAGUCAAAGUAACAAGAGUAGUACGUCUUUAGGAAGGCUCUAACAGAAUUAAGCAGCAGUGUUCACAGCAAGUGAAAGGGGUGGAUCUGGGAGCUGGGGGGUAAACGUCCCAGUAGGUCUGCACACACUUCAUUCACCUGCACAGUGCAUUAACCUCCUCUAGAGUUUAUCUGGAGGGAGGAGCUCUGGAGAAGCCCCUGAAUCUCUAGUUUGAAUUCCCUUAGCACACUGAUUCCAAACCUCAGAUGGUAUCUGUUGACUGGAGGGGAAGGAGGUUACUAAUGUGGUUAGUACUCACCAUUCUGUACGCGGUGCCAGCACCUCCCAGGGCGGUUUGUGACAUUCGAAAUUCCACCUAAAAUGUGUCCUUUUUCACUUGGCAAUAUGUAAGCUCCUCUGAUGGUAGAGAUUUAAGUAACUGGAGAAUGCUGUUUAAGUGAAAUCUCAUGGAAGACACACCCAGAGAUCAUUUUCAUUCAUAUUUUUUUUCAUUUCUUUUGGCAGCAAUAAUGCAGUAUUUCUGUGUUUCAUUAUUAUGUAGUGUUAUGGGGCAUAUUCUUUGUGGGUUUAGAUUCCAGAGUAGCGUAUCUGAUCUAUACUUCAUAAAGCAGUGUUAGCCAAGUAAUUUUGCUGAAAAGCAGCCGCUUUGGCAGAAAGGGAAGAGCCUCUUAUAAAAAGAACAUAUUACGAAGCCGGACUGGAGUUCAUUGGGACCAAGAGAUGUUGGCUACCAAAGGUCUAGAGACUAAAAGUUUGCUUGAUUUGAUUUAAAUUUCAAUUUCAUUUAACUUUUUUUUUUUUCUUUUUGGACAGUCUGUCAACCUUUAACUUAAAGUGAGUUUCAUGUUUGCUUAUCACCAACACAUUUGAUAACUUCUUCCCUGAAGAACGGUCACACUGAGCUAAACACUAUAGGUGACUGUAUAUCGUAACCAUGGAAACUAUUGUCAAUGACUUAUUAAGCAUUCUUUGUCCUGAUCCCAAACAAUACAUCGUGUAUUGUCCAAGUUCCCUGGAGGGUUGCCUUUUCCCUUAUCAUAUAGACUGAAUUUAGUCUUAUUUCUAUCUUGGUUUUUUUUUUCUAUUGUUCGAUGAUGGUAUUGGCUUCUUAAAACGUAAAAGCCAGUUUGGGGACCACCAUUAAGUGGUUAGAAGUCUUUUUAAAAUGUGCAUCAAAGAAAAUGUCACCAUGUGCCAUUAUAUUACAAGUCAAGAAAACUGAACCUGACUUUGAGUCUUUUUUUUUUUUUCUAAUGAGUAUGGAUCCAUAGAAACAGUGGUUACGUUUCUAAUAAUGGCUGGGUACUGGUCCUCAGCAGUCCAAGAUACCAUUAGACACUGAGCGAGGGUAUGUUGACUCUGCUUUUCCUGAUGUUUUUUUCAUGUGAAGUUGCUUGUGGAUCAGUAGAGAACAUCAAGGGAAUGUUUUCAAAAGUUUGUGGUUUUUUUUUAAGUUUAUUUAUUUAGAGAGAUGGUGCGUGCAUGACUGCAUGGGCAAGAGGAGGGGAGGGGCAGAGAAGGAGAGGGAGAGAAUCCCAGGCAGGCUCCAUGCUGUCAGACCAGAGUCCAACAUGGGGCUGGAAGAUCUGAGCUGAAAACAAGAGUCAGUGGCUUAACCAACUGAGCCGCCCAGGCACCCUUCCAGUACUCAGUUUUAAGGCUAUCUGACUGAAGAAGCUGGGUGGGGCUAAAUUUCUCAGUCCUCCCGAACCUCCCAGAGGGCUUUGUGGUAUCCUUUGUUGGAACACCAUAGGGAGGCCUGCCCCUGGGCAGAGGGAGUCUUUGUGCUUGGAGAGCCCGAGAGCCCUGGGCCUCCUUCAUUCAACAAGCCCUUGAAUCAGGCUCAGGCAGUGGUAGUUGUGGUGGUGCUAACGGCCGCCCAUUUUGAUGGCAAUUUGGCAAGGAGUCAAACUUUGGCCCUAAAGCAGAGGUGGUGCAAUUAGACAGCUGAGAUGCAUUCUCUAAACACACACUUUUAAUUGAUUUCAGCUUGUUCAGUUCACAAAGAUAGAGCUCUGACACAUAGCAGCCUUCUUAGAGAGGCUUAUUUUUACUUUCCCUUUAUUCAGCAGCGUAAUUCAACAGCAACAGAAGCAACAAUAAUACAGAGCUCUAAAGAGCGCGUAUUUGGCAUGGCUGGGAUACAAAAAGUAUUAUUAAGAACUAAUGAGUGAGAUAGUUAGAUGUUAACCGGAAAAGCAUUAAUGAGCAGAGGAGAAUUCUGGCAUAAACAUCUGCUUCUGAAGCAGAUGUUUUGUUACCUUGUAAAUCUGCUGAAGAAAAGCCUGCGUAAAUGGAACAGUGGACCGUUUUAGGUAAUAGGAGUGACAGAAUGAUAUCAUGAGGUUUUCAGAUCCUGUUGGUGGCUCUUCUGAAACUCAAAAAUGACUCUCGAGGCAGUGAAUUUGGGGGGGUGGGACAGAGUGGGGGUGACAAAGGAUAUCAGAGAAGAAUUACAGUAGGAGAUCACAAUGAGCAGGAGGCCAGUGAUAGCUGUCUCACAGGGAGAGAUUUGGGUUUCUCAUUACUUAAAUAGCUUGACUCCUGUCCCAUCUUGUCUAGGGCUCCACAGUCAUCCCCAUAUAGAUGGAUUGUGGCUGUUGUCAUCUUCUUGGGCUAGAGAUUUGAGAUCUGUUCUGCCCCCAACAAAAAUUACCUAACCUUUGGCUGACUUACUGGUAGCUUAAUUUAUGUAGAUGACUAAAUGGCUAGUAAUGAGUUAAUGGUCACACUUUGCAGGAUUACACAAUGAGUAUGCUUUAGCAGCUUUCCAUCCUUCAUCCAAGAGUCGCUAGUUGGCAAGAUUUUCAGGGAUUCCCAAUGGAGGGUUAGGUGUUUUUUCAGAGACUUCAAAUGACCUACUCUUGGCAACUGCCCCAUUCACAUCUACACGAGGGCAGCUUGAUAUGGGUUAUUUUCACUCAGUAUCCUAGAACAAACUUGGAGCUGGAAGGAAGCUUUAGAAUCGUCUAGGUAGUCCAAAACCCUUAGAGAUCCACCUGAAAAACAGAAGUUCCUAAAAAUGAUUCCACUAGCAUCACCUGGCAGUUGGUGAAAGGGUUGAUUCCCAGAACCCAGGCUCAUGUCUGGAGCUCUUUCCACCGUGCCUCAUUCUACACAGCUCCUGUGUCCUUCUCUCCCCUACUAAAGGUCAAGAAUGGGGAGUUUCCUCUAGGGGGAAGAGUGCCUUCAGAGAAGACCAUGGGCUUGCCCCAUUUGGUGCUUUGAAAGUUAGAAGCAGGGGCUAGAACUGAAGUGAAAACCAGCCCCCAGACUGUAUAGUUACGGAUUGUCCUUCUGUAGCUUUCUUUAUUUGUAUCCGUCCUCAGAAUGGUCACAGGCGUAGAUAUGGGGAUUUUUAUUUAUUUUUUUUUGUAACCAUUAAGUUUUGGAAAGCUGACAGUGUGGUUGCUUCUGCAUUGGCAUAGUUGGAGCCCGCUGCUUGUCUGCUAGUGAGCUGCAGAGGAACCCAGCAAACCAUCCCACCACCAGGGACCCAUAGCCUGCAGUGAUGGUUUUGUUGAUGCUGGAUGAGUCUACUGUCUGCCACAAAAAACACUACCUCUGAAAUUUUUCAGGAGACUUUGAGUAGGGGGAUCUUAGCCAUUUGUGGCUGCUCUGGGAGUCUUCCAUGGUGCACCAUGUUUAUAAGAGAUAGGCGUCUCAGCUCUGCAUAUGUGAUGAUUCCUUUUUCCGUGUGUGUGUGUGUGUGUGUGUGUGUGUGUGUGUGUUCAUGUAAGAAAAAGCGUGAACAAAGCCAUAGCUUCAUGAAACAGGAUGAUAUCCCAAGUUAGCAAGGCCUGUAUUUUUCUAUGGAAUUCUUUCUCCUACGGAAUUAAGGAGGGCCCUGGUGAAGAGUAGCCACUAAUCUCUGAUUUCUUCCCAGAUCACAGGCAUUUACUCCUAAUCAUGAGGGGCUUUGUAUCCUCCCUAGGAGAAGCCACAAAAGCCCAUGUUAACAGAAUAUUCUAAAUUAAUUCCUUCUGUUAUGCUUGAGGUGCCGAUUGAUUUCUCUUGAAAGAAACUUUGCGUCUGUCAUGUAGCUCAUGGCGAGUCAGAGGCAGAUUUUGUGUUACUUGAGGGGAAGUCUGUUUGACACCCCCAACGGUCCUGGGGACACAGGACGCCAGUAGAGCUUGUACUGGGCUGACAUUGUGAAGGUGCUCAUGAGGCUGCCAUUUUGAAUGGUGUCCAUUGUGUUUGUGAUUCAUCAUCUCCCUGAGAGCAUUUCUUUCAUGGGCAUGAUGAUGACACAGGGAGACAGGAGAUGUGAGCAGUGUUGCUGAGCCUUUGAGUUGCUCUCUUAAGUGACUCCUUCCAUCAUUAUUCACUGCUGAGGGAAGAGGCUUCUGAAAGAAUGCUUUGAAAAAAGAAAGAAAUGUUUCUCUUGCUGUUGAUCGUGGGUGUAUUUCCUUCCUGGUGGAUUUGCUCUUCUUCAGUUUACUAGCCCCCUUGGUCUCAGCACCCAGCCAUUACCUCCCUUGAUUCUCAUACCGACCUCUGAGGUGUGUAUUACUAACGAGUACUCGGAAGGUUGUGGAGAUUCUGGAAAUUACCCAAGGUAACACUGCUAGUCAAUGAUAUGUUACACUUGAACUAAACUCCAACCCCUUCCCAAGCCUGUACUCUUAACACACUGUACGGGUGUGUCCCUCAACGCCUGUCACAUGAAGCUCGACCUGUACUAAACUAGGUGGACAUUGUAGAACAAAUUGUCCUGGCCCUUGGAAGUGUGGAUUUGUUCAUGCUUUUCUCGCGUGAACGACACACAUGUGUACACAGACUCAUGAACACACACGCAUACACACGUAGAUUGCUUUGCUUAGUUUCCUUGUACCGAUCUUUCAAGUCCUGGCUCAGACAUGACCUCCUGCAGCCGAGCUUCUUCUAUGAACCCUCCUCUUCACCCCUGCUGCUCUCUUGUGGCACUCUGCACAGCUCUGUUACAGCACUUACUAUGUCCUGUUGUGUGUAGGACCUUUCCCUCUGGCCAGCAUGUGCGUGCCUGAAGGUCAGGGGCCUUGUCUCAGGGCCUAACCCUGAGAACUUGUGGCCCUGCAGAGCUUGCUACGCUAGGCCUUGCCAACUCUCUAAAUGUGAAUGGAACCAAGUCGAUAGCGGGAUAUUUGAAACCUAUAUGGCACUGAUGAUACAGGUAACCUGAACUUGAGGGGGGCCCAUAGCCUGUGUACUCGAGCAGGUCUAGAAACGGCCUGCUAACAGAAGACAUCUGUGCCUUCCUGCUUUCCAAGCACUGUGAAAAUCUCCACAAGCAAAAGGUUUGAGGAACUAUAACAUUUAUGGCUCCCUGGCCAUAAAUUCACUGAAGAACACAUAAAGAAUGCCAUUCCCACAGGGUUAUGGCAAAGAUUCAGUAUUGCAAACAUCUGCAUAUGAGCAGUAAAGCUAACCUCUGGUGCGCACUGCUCGACUGUUAUCGACAUAUUAACAUUAGUGACAAUCAGAUGUGAUUAUCUGAGAUGGCAUUUUAUCUGCCAACUGCAGACUUAUGGCUUCUAAAAACCCAAUUCGCUCCCUUUCUCAUAUGUUGUUUUUAUAUGACUCAAAUCACAUGCAGAAAAUCGUGAUGAGUGUGGCUCUGCUUUUGUGUUUUGGUGAAUACGGGUGUGUAUAAAUUUUCAGUACUUAAAUUGAUUUUUAGCAUCCUGGUUAGACUAGGCUCUCAAAAGUUUGUUAAACAGCUAACUAAGUAAAUUGCAAAGCAUUAUGACUUUACAUUUGAAGACACUACUGAGAGCCAGGAAGAGGGGAUAGAUGCUGGUACUGGCUGAUAGGGUUUUUGAUGUAACAGCUUUCUAAUUAAUUUACAAGGUUGGAGUGUAUGUGUUACAUGAUGCAUCUCGAGGUUUAAAUCGCUGUCAUUAUCUCCUUCUUAUUAUUUAAACCAGGGUUUAGCAGAAUUUUUCUGUUCAGAGCUAGAUAGUAAAUAUUUUUGCCUUCGUGGGUCCUGGGUUCUCUGUAAUAACCACUCCUUUCUGCCACUGUAAGGUGAAGGUAGAGAAUACAGCAACAAAUGAGUGGAGUUGUGUUCCAGUAAAAUUGUAUUGACAGAAAUAGGCAAUGGGCGAUAGUUUGCUAACCUCUGGUUCAAGCAAAUAAUACAUUUUUCUAGAAGGUAUUGGGAGAUGUAGGAAAAAAAAAAUUUAGACCUUUUGCAAAUGGACCUUUCCUCUGGCUCCCGUUCUAUUUGGCAGUGUCUAAAGUGGCCAAAUUAGAUUUUAAGUUAAAACAUAAAACUUUAAAUCAAAAUAUGUUCUUUAUGAUAGCACAGUGAUUCUUAAUACAUAUUUGAUUUUAGUUCAUCGAAUGCAUUUAAUGCAUCUCCAGUAACAGUGACUUGUUACAGCAAAAGUUUUAAGAGGAGAGGGUGGCAUUACUCUGUAUUCUUUUCUCUAAAUUCCCUUCUAAAACCGUAUGAGCAUGAACCAUUGCAUUGAGAUAAGUAGAAUUUCAGAUGGGCAGAAAUAUAUAGGUGUCGGAAAGCAAGAGCUUGGAAUCAGAAUUCCUUUCUGAAACCUAAUGUCAGCAUCGCUGACACAGGGCUUUCUCCAUUUCACACCAGGCCAUAGAACCUUUGAGAAUGGACGUAUGCUGGAACUUGCAAAUAUGUUACGGGUGAUGGUCAGAUUUCCGAAUGGCAGGAGGGUUUCUGGUUUUACAGUUUGGAAAGGAUUACAGAGCUAGGCGCAAGGGAAAUAAGUGAGAGUAUACCUUAUCAUACUUGUUUUUCUCUUUGUUUGAGGUUAUUUUUUAUGCCUCUCCACACGGUAUGUGAGACGACCCAAUUUGCAUUGCACUAUUCUGGGUGACUGAGGCGGUUGGCGAAACCGUGACCCAGGAUAACAGCCCAAGCAAGUGGAGCCUAUAUAAAUUAUUCUUACUCCUUAUUUGUUUAUUUCAAAGCAGUGUUUCUACCUUGUAGUUUCAAGUGGUUUUCAAGACGUCCUCACCAGUGUGGCAACUGCUGACAGCUUAACGUUAAGCCUGUAGCCCUCCCCACCCAGGUCUUGGCUGCUUAGCUUUGCAAAUUAGUGAGCAGAAGUUGGGGGCAAGAGAACAACUGUGUAAUUGUAGGAGAGGCCUGUGACCCAUCUAGCGGGAGUACUCUGUGGAAUUCUUCAUAAGGUCAGAGCCAGACAGUUGUGACUUCUCACGUGACCAGUUUGGGGAUACCGCAGUGGGAUGUUUGGAGGGGAAGAUGCAUGGUCCUCAGACAUGCGGCUUCGGCAUCACCAGCUUUUUAGAAAUGCAAAGUCUCGGGCCCUGUGGCCAGGCUACUAAUCAGAAUCUUGGCAGGUGGGUCCAGGAAUCUGAUCUAAGCAGGUCUCAUGCUGAUGGUCCUGCCUACGAAAGUUCAAGAAACACUGCUUGAUUCGCCAGCCAGUUAGCUCCAUCUAGUACCUUUUUAUGGUUUUGGAAAUUGAGGGCAAGUGACUUGCCCAACAUGAAGCCUGGGGGUGGGGACCUGGUGGUCUGAUUUCCAGGCCAGGGUCCAAGACAGUGCCAGUUUAGGUAGAUGACAAAGAGGCCAAGGGCCUUAAACAGAGUGGUGACUUGGGACCAAUGUCUGCACACUGUGCCAUUCAUGUUGUGGUGGAGAGACCUGGUGGGAGGAGAGGUGGAAGAGUUGGUGACUGCCAGCUCUCCUCCUAACCCGGGGCAGCCUUUCUCCAUUGAAGAGCCUGGUGACCCUGCUGUUGAACUUCCUCUUUUAAAUAAACAGCUCCCUAGAGCAUCCUCCGCUGAGCUUAGCAACAAGGGAGGAGGGAGUGAGGAGGGGCGGGAGGAGAAAGGCUCCCCCGUUAUCAUCAUGUCAGUGCAAUCACUGGGAAUUACGGUUGAGGAUUAAGAGUCACUUGGGGAUAAUUCAGCCAGGCUGGAGAGGGAAAUACGCACCCGCGCGUGCGUGUGCACACACACACACACACACACACACCCCGUAAACAUAUUGCUAAAACUCCUGGCAGGAAACAAACAGCGCAGGAAAACAAGUAUGGGCAGAACUGAAAGGGCCUGAAUUUUGAAUAGGUGGUAUAGGCUCCAGAAUGAUCUGUUUCCUAAACACUUUGGGGGAAGUUGUAUACACAGUGACUAUAGCAGAGCAGCUGCUUCCCCAACUCUGUGCAUUGCUCUGUUUCAGAACCAGCAUCCCUUCUCCUCCAGGCAUCUGUUCCUGAGAACACUUGAAGGUUCUGCCAAGAGGACUCAAACUGGCAAUAGAAUACUUGAAAUGUAGAAGACGAUACACACACACACACACACACACACACACACACACACACACGCUUCUAAAAAGACGCAGCAAGUCCCGAAGGAAAGUGUCGCCUAUCUCCCAGAAUCAGGUGCCUCUGCAGAAGGUCAAAUACAUUAUCCAUCUCUUGUGGUUGUCCUUGCACUGAAACAGGAGACCUCAGCCAGUUAAUGUUUUGCUUUUCCCAGAGACAGUGUGGAAUUGGAUCACACUCUUUGGGUGUGUGCUGCCUGUACCAAGAAUGUCUUUUCUCACCAUGUGACGUGAAUGUCCAGCCUGACGGGAUUCUCCCUAAGCAUGGUAAAUGGAGUCUAGAAGAAUCCUGUGUUUUUCCGAUCAACUCUGAAAGAGCUAAAUAGACCAGAGCAAUCUAAAGUAGCGAGGGGAAAUAAUUUGUUCGCCUUCACUGAGAGUCUUGGCAGAAAAUUCCACUGAGGGGCAUGGCCGAGACCUCAUGGGACCAGUUUCAAGUGAGAGCUCCCUUCACCCUUCGUGUGUCUCUCACUUGAGGUUGGCUGCGAGGCAAUUAAUUAUCUCCAUGGUAGAGGCCUCCUACUACUUCUUUCUAAGCAAGUCCCUAAGCAAGUCCCAGGCCUUAAACAGGGGUUAAACCAGGAAGGAAACGGCCCCAGGCUUUCCAAGUGUAGGUGCUCUUAAUACCGCUCUGAGCCAAACAGAAGCAACUGUUAAAAACUGAGAACAAACUGAGGGUUGAUGGGGGGUGGGAGGGAGGAAAGGGUGGGUGAGGGGUAUUGAGGAGGGCACCUGUUGGGAUGAGCACUGGGUGUAGUAUGGAAACCGAUUUGACAAUUUCAUAUUUAAAAAGUUACCUUUAUUUUUAUACUCUUUUUCCAGUCUUCUUCAGGCUUUAUGACUUGAGAGAGAUCUUGUUGUUGUUUUGCGUAAUGAGACUGACUUUAUUUUAUUUCCCGAGGGGGAGGAGUUCCAGAAGUGAGAAGGUGGGGGGAGGUGCAGGCCGAGGAGGAUUUCUCUCCCUUUCCAAAUCCUCCCCGUUAGCAUUAGAGCACUACAGAAUCCUUUUCCAGAUGGACAAAUGCUGCAACAGAUGUGUCAGCAGUCGUGUAUUCUGGGAUUAUUUGGGUUUGUUUAAAUUGAGCUUACCCUGCACCAAAGGAUUUUGUGGAAAUAUGUCGUGUUUUUGGACAAGGAGAGGUUUCCAGCCUCAGAUGUGAAGGGGCUGAGAGAUUACCCCAUUCCAGAAUGCCCAUGGGUAUGCGCGGCUCUGUCUUGGGGAAUUGCUGCUUCAAGGCCAAAAAAGCUGAAAGAA